GGCCAGACUCCUACGGGAGGCAGCAGUGGGGGAUAUUGCACAAUGGGGGGAACCCUGAUGCAGCGACGCCGCGUGGGUGAAGAAGCGCCUCGGCGCGUAAAGCCCUGUCAGCAGGGAAGAAAAUGACGGUACCUGAAGAAGAAGCCCCGGCUAACUACGUGCCAGCAGCCGCGGUAAUACGUAGGGGGCAAGCGUUAUCCGGAUUUACUGGGUGUAAAGGGAGCGCAGGCGGCACGGCAAGCCUGAUGUGAAAGCCCGCGGCCCAACCGCGGGACUGCAUUGGGAACUACCGGGCUGGAGUGCCGGAGAGGUAGGCGGAAUUCCUAGUGUAGCGGUGAAAUGCGUAGAUAUUAGGAGGAACAUCAGUGGCGAAGGCGACUAUCUGGCACAUAACUGACGCUGAGGAGCGAAAGCGUGGGUAGCAAACAGGAUUAGAUACCCGCGUACA
rnacentral:rRNA from 1 species